rnacentral:rRNA from 1 species
UACGGAGGUGGCAAGCGUUACUCGGAUUUAUUGGGUGUAAAGGGCAGGUAGGUGGCUCAACAAGUGGGAAGUGAAAUCCUCCGGCUUAAUCGGAGAACGGCUUUCCAAACUAUUGAGCUUGAGUGUGGGAGAGGAGAAUGGAACUCCUGGUGUAAGGGUGAAAUCUGUAGAGAUCAGGAGGAACACCAUUGGCGAAGGCGAUUCUCUGGACCACAACUGACACUGAACUGCGAAAGCUAGGGGAG